AAAACGACUCUCGGCAACGGAUAUCUCGGCUCUCGCAUCGAUGAAGAACGCAGCGAAAUGCGAUACUUGGUGUGAAUUGCAGAAUCCCGCGAACCAUUGAGUCUUUGAACGCAAGUUGCGCCCGAAGCCAUUAGGCCGAGGGCACGUCUGCCUGGGCGUCACGC
rnacentral:rRNA from 1 species